UCUAAGAUCGACCCACUUGACUGUUUUCAGGCCUUGUCCACUCCAUUGACAAUAAAAAAUGUCUGAUUCUCCACUUGUCAAGGACUGGAGUCUGGAUCAUGAAACAUCGGGAGCACUUUUUGAACCUAUUAA
rnacentral:sRNA from 1 species